AUCGAACGCUGGCGGCAUGCCUUACACAUGCAAGUCGAACGGCAGCACGGGAGCAAUCCUGGUGGCGAGUGGCGAACGGGUGAGUAAUGUAUCGGAACGUGCCCAGUCGUGGGGGAUAACGUAGCGAAAGCUACGCUAUACCGCAUACGAUCUAUGGAUGAAAGCGGGGGAUCGCAAGACCUCGCGCGCUUGCAGCGGCCGAAAUCAGAUUAGGUAGUGGGUGGGGUAAAGGCUCACCAAGCCGACGAUCUGUAGCUGGUCUGAGAGGACGACCAGCCACACUGGGACUGAGACACGGCCCAGACUCCUACGGGAGGCAGCAGUGGGGAAUUUUGGACAAUGGGCGCAAGCCUGAUCCAGCAAUGCCGCGUGCAGGAUGAAGGCCUUCGGGUUGUAAACUGCUUUUGUACGGAACGAAACGGCGAGCUCUAAUACAGUUUGCUAACGACGGUACCGUAAGAAUAAGCACCGGCUAACUACGUGCCAGCCGCCGCCGUAA
rnacentral:rRNA from 1 species